GUGGAUUAGAUACCCUGGUAGUCCACGCCCUAAACGAUGAUUACUCGAUGUGUGCAAUACACCGUACGCGUCUGAGCGAAAGCAUUAAGUAAUCCACCUGGGGAGUACGACCGCAAGGUUGAAACUCAAAGGAAUUGACGGGGGCCCGCACAAGCGGAGGAGCAUGUGGUUUAAUUCGAUGAUACGCGAGGAACCUUACCAGGGCUUGAAAGUUAAGGAAUGAUGUAGAAAUAUGUCAGUCAGCAAUGACCUAAAACUAGGUGCUGCACGGCCGUCGUCAGCU
rnacentral:rRNA from 1 species